rnacentral:lncRNA from 1 species
CCCCAUUUAAAAAGUCUAUUUUUUCCUCCCAUAGCUUUUUAAAAAAAUCCCCUUUCCCUUCUUUCCCUUCCUCCUCCCCCCUCCCCUGAAUCCCAGCAUCUUGUGUUAUUUCUAUAUAUUUGUAUAUUUAAAGAAAAUAUGAAGGAUAUUGCUACAGAAUGUGACACUCCAAUAUAUAAUCAGUAAAGUCGAAUGUGAGAAAUUCUACUGGUCAAAUGAUCCAGUUUCUUCAAUAAAAUGGUACCAAAAUAUGUUGAAAGAAGUGUUUUACAGUAAGUCUUAUGAGAAAGUCAGCCAAAUGCAAUUAGUGAACCUUGUUUAGGUCUGCAUUUGAAGAAACGAUAAGUCAGAGAAUACUGAAGUCCAAUGAUAUAUUUAACACUGGGCAAUUACUGUUAAUUUUUGUUAAGUGUGGUACAAUCCUGUGGUUUUGUCAAAAAUGAAAACAAAAGUCCUGAUCUGCCAAAGACCUAAGUAUUUACGGGUAAUAUUAUGUUGCUCAGGAUUUUCUAAAACUUCCCAAGUAACAAAGAAUAAAUACAGUAUCCGCUCAAGUGGUUAUGAAGUUUACUGAUCUAACCUCUCUACUUUUGUUUGAAGAUUUUCAACUAAAAGACCUAACAUUUUUGUAACUGAACUUGAAUCUUCCUACCCAUUACCAUUCUGCUGGGGGCCUUCUCUAUUUCAGUUAGAGGCAAUUUCAUCCUUCCAGUUGCUCAGGCCAAAAACCUUGGACUCAUCCUUGCCUGCUUUCCUUUGGUCACAUGCCUUCAUCGAAUCAGCCAAGAGAUCCAAUUUGGUCCAUAUUCAAAAUAUAUUCAAUAGCCAGGCAUGGUAGCAUAUGACUGUAAUCCCAGCACUCUGGGAGGUUGAGGCAGGAGGAUCCGAAAUUCAAGCCUACCAUGGGCAAUUUAGAGACUUAGCAAGAUAAUGUUUCAAAAUCAUUUAAAAAAAAAGCAAUGGAUAGUAGCUGAGUGCAAAGGCCAUGGGUUAAAUCCCCAGUACUGAAAAAAUAAAAAUCCAGCUAUUACUUUUUACCAUUCUAUUGAUGCUACCCCAGUCCAAGACACCAUUCUCUCCCACCUGGAUUAUUACAAUCCCCUCUUCACUGCUCACCUAGCUCCCCCUUUUUUUUUUGAGGGGGGGUACUGAGGAUCGAAGUUGGGACCUUGCGCUUUCGAGGCAGGUGGUGGAACCACUGAGCUAAAUCCCCGGCCCUCUGCCUAGGUAUUUCUGGCACUGCUGCACUGCUCGGUUCUUACCUUUAAAGAGUUUGCUCAGAUUCACCUUCUACUGAGGUCACCCUGACCACCUAGCUCAGCACUCAACUCCCUCUCCCUGCUUUAGCUCCCUCCAGAGCUUUUACUACUGUUCCACAUAAUCCAUCUAAUUGACUUUUUAAGACAGAAUCUCACAAUGUUGUCCAGGCUGGUCUCAAACUCCUGGGCUACAGUGAUCCUGCUGCCUCCCAAGUAUUGGGACUAUAAGCAUACACCACCAUGCCCAUCUUUAAUUCACUUAUUUUAGUAAGUU